AGAGUUUGAUCAUGGCUCAGGAUGAACGCUAGCGAUAGGCCUUACACAUGCAAGUCGAGGGGCAGCACAUAAAUUGUAGCAAUACGAUUUGGUGGCGACCGGCGCACGGGUGAGUAACGCGUAUGCAACCUACCUACUACUUUGGCAUAGCUCGUUGAAAGACGAAUUAAUACCUCAUAAAACAGGGGCUCCGCAUGGAGAUAUUUGUUAAAGAUUUAUCGGUAGUAGAUGGGCAUGCGUUCCAUUAGUUAGUUGGCGAGGUAACGGCUCACCAAGACAACGAUGGAUAGGGGAACUGAGAGGUUUAUCCCCCACACUGGAACUGAGACACGGUCCAGACUCCUACGGGAGGCAGCAGUGAGGAAUAUUGGUCAAUGGAGGCAACUCUGAACCAGCCAAGUCGCGUGAAGGAUGACGGCCCUACGGGUUGUAAACUUCUUUUUAAGGGAAUAAAGUGAGCCACGUGUGGCUUUUGCAUGUACCUUACGAAUAAGGAUCGGCUAACUCCGUG
rnacentral:rRNA from 1 species